GCUAACACUUGCUUUUAUAUAUAUUUAUUCAUUUUCAAAGCAAUCAAAUUAGGGUUGUAUAGCUCAACUGCUUAUUAUCCGGCGAAGCGAAUUCAUCACUUUCCGGCGAGGUACUGUUUUGAUUCAGAGAGUUUUUGUGCUUGAAGAUGUAGCUUUGGAUGAAGUUUGCCUUAGCGAUGAUCAUAUAGUGCUACAUCCUAGUUGUGAACAUGCCAAUGAAGUUUCUCUCCCAGACUGAUAGCCGUAAGAAAUCCCGGUGUGAAAUAAUUGGUUUAUUAAGAACCAUAGGAGCAAUCUACUCUUAAAUAUAAUAAUCAGCAAAAGGCCAAAGAAGUUCCUCCUUUAUAUAGUACAAUGAUGGAGAAGGACUCGAGGGCUGGUAGGCUUGAUUGCGUGUUCCCUUCUAAACAUGAUAAGGACUCUGUUGAAGAAGUUUCAAGUUUAUCAUCUGAAAAUACUAGGACAUCCAAUGAUUGCUCCAGAAGUAACAAUGUAGACUCCAUUAGCGGUGAGGUCCAGCCCAAUAACCCCAUUCUGGAUGACAAGAAUUCUGCAGUUAGGGACAACUUGCAUAGCUAUCCUCUUGGUCCCGUUUCUCAGGCAGAUGAUGAUCUUGGUUUUCUUGAUAGUAAUCAUGAGGAUAAAAGUACUACCGAGCUCUUAUAUUAUAACUGGCCUGAGAUGGAAAACUUUGAGGAUGUUGACAGGAUGUUCAGAAGUUGUGAUUCAACAUUUGGAGUUGGAGCUAGUAUCGAAGAUGACCUUGGUUGGUUUUCGUCAUCUGGUGUUAUUGAAGGAUCUGGAGGUGGAUUGAGGUCAGAUUUUGAGUUUCCCUUCUCAACAUCCAGUGAACUUGAAAAUAUCUCUGGAAUGCAGGAAGCUUCCAGGCCAAAGGAAACAGGCAGUUCAAUUAAUGAUUCUGGCACUAAAGAUCAACUCUUCUGUCAAACUGUCUGUUCAAUGCCAUCAGAGGAUGAAUCAGCCGUUCUGAGUCAUCUAUCUUUUGCAAAUGGUUCAAGUGAUUCAGAUUUCAAGACAGUGCCCAAAAAGAAGAUUAAUCUUCACAAAAUUAACUCUAAGCUCCAGAAUCAAUCUGAGGGAAAAAGAAAACAUGUUUACAUGGAAAAUGGGGAGACAUUCAACUAUAUUGAUAGCCUUCCAGAAGAGAGAAACCAUCCUACUGCAAUCACUGGAUCUCAGGCUCUCACAUCCACAGGUAUUCAGCAGCACAAGCAAGUUGAUGGAUCUGAUUUUGGGUAUUUUCAGGAUGGCUUUUCUUACUUAUCUUCAGAUUACAGUCAUUCAGAUCAGACUACGGUUUGUCCAACCCUAUCCACAAUCAAAUCUAAAAAAAGCAGUCUCGCGACUCUUUCUGCUAAGGACUCCUGUGCGACAAAUCAGAUGCAGUUGAUGGAAAGCUUACCUGAUCCUUCUUUUCAGGUGGCUGAUAUAGGAACAAAUGAAAAUAUGGUGGACAAGCUACUUCAACGUUCUGUAAUUAAGCAUGAAAACAACAGGGAUCUUGAAAGUGUCAGCACGGGAAUUCCAGCAGAAGUAGGUUCCUCUAUUGUAAAGGAGAGCUCUUGCACAAGUUCUGGGUUGAAUGAAAUUUCUGAGGAGGCAGAUAGUUUUCAUCAGCUUGAACAUGUCAUGGAACGGAUAGCAAUGCAGAGAGCUGAUUGCUUAUUUAGUACAACAGACAGCCUUAAUAUAAAAGCUGUUCCUCAUCAUCUUGCUGCUUGCUUAUUUUAAAUUAUUAAUCAGCGGAUGUGCAAAAGCCUUCCAAAGUCUGACAUAACGUUGAGUGUCUUGAAACUAUCUUUGUGUUAUUCCUGUAAACUUGGGCUAGGAAGGGGCAGUUAGCAGAUUUGGUAUGUGGUUCUUCAAGUUUGUACAUUUAGUUGGAAAUCAACUUUCUUUUCAGUACAUGCAUGUUUGUUAGCUCACUCUGUUGAGCCUUCUGGUUUAGUUGGAUGUAAAAACAAAGCUACGCAUAAGGGAUAGCUUGUAUCGGUUGGCUCAGAGUGCUGAACAAAGGCUUAGACAUGCUAAUCUCAAUAAUGGAUCUGGUGAUGAUAGACACACAAGCAGAGCAUUUGAUGACGAUGGAGCAUACAGGUGCACAGGAUAUUUGGACAUGGAGACAGACACUAACUCUAUAGAUCGAUCUAUUGCUCACUUACUCUUCCACAGGCCUUCAAACUCAUCUGUGAUGACCGAUUCUUUGGCUUUGGAGUCACCUUCCACGAUUUUCGAGACAUUACUCAGCCCACCAAUGAUUGAUGAGAACUUGAUUUCUGCUGGAUAAAAUGCAGCCGAACCAGAUAAAGGCAUGAAAUAUUAAACAGGCUUCUAUACAAAUGGGUUGUGUUUAUUUCAAUUUAUGUCGCAUGGACUCGCCUACAUGUAUGUGCAUGUAAGUGUCUGCUAUGGAUACUUAUAUACUUUUUUGUUGUUUAGUGUAAUUCGAAGAAUCUACACAGUAUGAGAAUGAGGGUCUAUGUCAAAUAGCUUACAGUUACGUGUUUGUGUAUGAAAAUUAUCAAGAAUCUCAAAUGAGAAAUUAUUUCAUGUUUAUAACACGCUCGUGUGUUUCAUGAUUUUGAUGUUUUA